rnacentral:rRNA from 1 species
ACGAACGCUGGCGGCAGGCUUAACACAUGCAAGUCGAACGGUUGUAGCAAUACAGCAGUGGCAGACGGGUGAGUAACACGUGGGAACCUUCCUAGGGGUACGGAACAACUCAGGGAAACUUGAGCUAAUACCGUAUACGUCCGUGAGGAGAAAGAUUUAUCGCCCUUAGACGGGCCCGCGUCGGAUUAGCUAGUUGGUGGGGUAACGGCCUACCAAGGCGACGAUCCGUAGCUGAUCUUAGAGGAUGAUCAGCCACACUGGGACUGAGACACGGCCCAGACUCCUACGGGAGGCAGCAGUGGGGAAUCUUGGACAAUGGGCGCAAGCCGGAGCCAGCCAUGCCGCGUGAGUGAAGAAGGUCUUCGGAUUGUAAAGCUCUUUUGCCAGGGACGAUAAUGACGGUACCUGGAGAAUAAGCCCCGGCAAACUUCGU